GGUUCCCAGCCUUGCAUUAAGUAAAGAAUGUUACUUCCCGACAGUUCAAGGAACUUCAGAGUAUUUUAGAAACCUCAAGAAGAUAGGAAUUUCCCUAGGUAAUACAGGUAAAACCUGAUGGCAAGUUCUUGGCUUAGCUUCAUAGCAAUGAGUGGUUUUUAAAGGCCUAAUCUGAGAUUCCUUAUGAAAAAUUCCAGCAAAACAAAAUUUUAAAAGAGCCUAUAUGGUCAAUCAUCAUUCUUGUGGCACCUUAUGCAAAUAAUCAGGCCACAUUCAAUGAGACUAAACUCAUUUUGCAAAUAAAUUCAUCUUAUUAUGAUUAUCUUUUAUGCAAACUGGUGUGAAUGGAAAGAGGAAAAAUUAGGUUUCAGAAGAAAGCUAUAUAGUACAAUCAUUAUUAUAUUUCAACCCUGCUCAUUAUUUUUGAGAUUUUUCUUUACCUGCAAUUAGGACUGGAUUCUAAAUUUUUUUUGGCUGUAAGUCUCCAAACUAAUUUUACCAAUUUUUCUCCCAUUCUUCUGACUUGGAAUCACAAACAUUAAAACCUUGCAAGCAGAAAACUGGUCAACUUGAUAAAUACACUCAGAGAAAUUACUACGUCAGCUGCAUUUAAACUGCAAAUCAGGAAAAUCUGUCAGAUUGCCAUUGUCUGCUUUUGCUUUCACUGAAGAUGCUUUGAGCCAACAUCUAGAAAUCUCAGCUGGCUGCCCUUCAAACUCAAAUACUCAGAUUAUUGAACCUUCAAAAGGAGAUGAAGAAAAAUUCUUUUUGCCCCUACAUGGCCAUGGAAAUAAAUUCUGGCAAAUGGAAGGGUUUAUGGAAAUGGAGAGUGUGACAGGCUGUCAGAACUAAAAACAAACAAACAAACAAACCAGCAUCUCAACAAAGAGAUCAAGACAUCACUCUGAUCAUAAUAUCAGUGCUAUGGCUUAAAUGUCCCCUCCAAAACUCAUGUUGGAAUUUCAUCCUCAAUGUGCUUGCAUUGAGAAAUGAAUUUUUAAGAAGUGACUGGAUCAUGAAGGCUCUGCUCUCAUGAAUGGAUUAACCCAUUCACAGAUUAAUGGAUUAAUGGGUUAAUGGGUUAUCAUGGGACAGGAAUUGGUGGCUUUACAAGAAAACGAAGAGAGACCUGAGCUAGCAUGUUAGCACACUCAACCUCCUCCCAUGUGAUCCCCUGCACUACCUUGGGACCCUUCAGAGAGUUCCCACCAGCAAGAAGGCUCUCACCAGAUGCGACCUCCUGCCCUUGGACUUCUCAGCCUCCAUAACUGUAAGAAAUAAAUUCCUUUUCUUUAUAAAUUAUCCAGUUUCAGGUAUUUUGUUAUAUGCUACAGAAAAUAGACUGACAGUGUUUAGCAGCCCUUACUGGAUAUACUAACAAAGACUAUUUAAAGAAACCACUGAUAACCGCAUAAACACAUUGUCAGGCCUCUGAGCCCAAGCCAAGCCAUCGCAUCCCCUGUGACUUGCACGUAUACGCCCAGAUGGCCUGAAGUAACUGAAGAAUCACAAAAGAAGUGAAUAUGCCCUGCCCCACCUUAACUGAUGACAUUCCACCACAAAAGAAGUGUAAAUGGCCGGUCCUUGCCUUAAGUGAUGACAUUACCUUGUAAAAGUCCUUUCCCUGGCUCAUCCUGGCUCAAAAAGCACCCCCACUGAGCACCUUGCGACCCCCACUCCUGCCCGCCAGAGAACAAACCCCCUUUGACUGUAAUUUUCCUUUACCUACCCAAAUCCUAUAAAACCGCCCCACCCUUAUCUCCCUUCACUGACUCUCUUUUCGGACUCAGCCUGCCUGCACCCAGGUGAAAUAAACAGCCAUGUUGCUCACACAAAGCCUGUUUGAUGGUCUAUUCACACAGACGUGCAUGAAAUUUGGUGCCGCAACUCGGAUUGGGGGACCUCCCUUGGGAGAUCAAUCCCCUGUCCUCCUGUUCUGUGCUCCGUGAGAAAGAUCCACCUAUGACCUCAGGUCCUCAGACCGACCAGCCCAAGGAACAUCUCACCAAUCUUAAAUCAGGUAAGCGGCCUCUUCUUACUCUCUUCUCCAACCUCUCUCACUGUCCCUCAACCACUUUCUCCUUUCCACUCUUCAAUCUCUCCCUUCUCUUAAUUUCAAUUCCUUUCAUUUUCUGGGAAAGACAAAGGAGACACGUUUUACCUGUGGACCCAAAACUCCGGCCUGGUCACGGACUGGGAAGGCCGCCUUCCCUUGGUGUUUAAUCAUUGCAGGGACGCCUCUCUGAUUAUACACCCACGUUUCAAGGGUGUCAGACCACGCAGGGACACCUGCCUUUGUCCUUCACCCUUAGCGGCAAGUCCCGCUUUUCUGGGGAAGGGGCAAGUACCUCAACCACUUCUCUCCUUGUCUCUACCCCUUCUCUGCUUUUCUGGGAGAGGGGCAAGUACCCCUCAACCCCUUCUCCUUCACCCUUAGCGGCAAGUCCUGCUUUCCUAGGGGGCAAGAAACCCCCAAUCGCUUAUUUCCGCACCCCAACCUCUUAUCUCUGUGCCCCAAUCCCUUAUUUCCACACCCUGACCUCUUAUCUCUGUGCCCCAGUCACUUAUUUCCGUGCCCCAACCCCCUUCUCUGCUUUUCUGGAGGGCAAGAACCCUCCACCCCUUCUCCGUGUCUCUACUCUUUUCUCUGGGCUUGCCUCCUUCACUAUGGGUAAGCUUCCACCUUCCAUUCCUCCUUCUUCUCCCUUAGCCUGUGUUCUCAAAAACUUAAAACCUCUUCAACUCACACCUGACCUAAAACCUAAAUGCCUUUUCUUCUGCAAUGCCGCUUGACCCCAAUACAACCUUGACAGUAGUUCCACAUAGCCAGAAAAUGGCACUUUGAAUUUUUCCAUCCUGCAAAAUCUAAAUAAUUCUUGUCGUAAAAUAGGCAAACGGUCUGAGGUGCCUGACGUCCAGGCAUUCUUUUACGUAUCAGUCCCUUCCUAGUCUCUCCAAAUCUUUCUUCUUUCCCUCCCGCCUGUCCCCUCAGUACCAACCCCAAGCGUCGCUGAGUCUUUCUAAUCUUCCUUUUCUACAGACCCACCUAACCUCUCCCUUCCUCCCCAGGCUGCUCCUCGCCAGGCCGAGCUAGGUCCCAAUUCUUCCUCAGCCUCCCCUCCUCCACCCUAUAAUCUUUUUAUCACCUCCCCUCCUCACACCUAGUCCGGCUUACAGUUUCUUCCGUGACUAGCCAUCCCCCACCUGCCCGGCAAUUUACUCUUAAAAAGGUGGCUGGAGCUAAAGGCAUAGUCAAGAUUAAUGCUCCUUUUUCUUUAUCCCAAAUCAGAUAGCGUUUAGGCUCUUUUUCAUCGAAUAUAAAAAUCCAGCCCAGUUCAUGACUUGUUUGGCAGCAACCCUGAGACACUUUACAGCCCUAGACCCUAAAAAGUCAAAAGGCCGUCUUAUUCUCAAAAUACAUUUUAUUACCCAAUCUGCUCCCAACAUUAAGUAAAACUCCAAAAAUUAAAUUCCGGCCCUCAAACCCCACAACAGGAUUUAAUUAACCUCACCUUCAAGGUGUACAAUAAUAGAAAAAAGUUGCAAUUCCUUGCCUCCACUGUGAGACAAACCCCAGCCACAUCUCCAGCACAUAAGAACUUCCAAACGCCUGAACUGCAGUGGCCAGGCAUUCCUCCAGAACCUCCUCCCACAGGAGCUUGCUACACAUGCCGGAAAUCGGGCCCCUGGGCCAAGGAAUGCCCGCUGCCUGGGAUUCCUCCUAAGCCACGUCCCAUCUGUGUGGGACCCCACGGAAAAUCGGACUGUUCAACUCACCUGGCAGCCACUCCCAGAGUCCCUGGAACUCUGGCCCAAGGCUCGCUGACUGACUCCUUCCCAGAUCUUCUCAGCUUAGCGGCUGAAGACUGACACUGCCCGAUCGCCUCGGAAGCCCCUAGACCAUCACGGACGCUGAGCUUCGGGUAACUCUCACAGUGGAAGGUAAGCACGUCCCCUUCUUAAUCAAUACAGAGGCUACCCACUCCACAUUACCUUCUUUUCAAAGGCCUGUUUCCCUUGCCUCCAUAACUGUUGUGGGUAUUGACGGCCAGGCUUCUAAACCUCUUAAAACUCCCCAACUCUGCUGCCAACUUAGACAAUACUCUUUUAAUCACUCCUUUUUAGUUAUCCCCACCUGCCCAGUUCCCUUAUUAGGCUGAGACACUUUAACUAAAUUAUCUGCUUCCCUGACUAUUCCUGGACUACAGCUAUAUCUCAUUGCCGCCCUUCUUCCCAAUCCAAAGCCUCCUUUGCGUCCUCCUCUUGUAUCCCCCAGCCUUAACCCACAAGUAUAAGAUACCUCUACUCCCUCCUUGGCGACCGAUCAUGCACCUCUUACCAUCUCAUUAAAACCUAAUCACCCUUACCCCACUCAACGCCAAUAUCGCAUCCCGCAGCACGCUUUAGAAAGAUUAAAGCCUGUUAUCACUAGCCUGCUACAGCAUGGCCUUUUAAAGCCUAUAAACUCUCCUUACAAUUCCCCCAUUUUACCUGUCCUAAAACCAGACAAGCCUUACAAGUUAGUUCAGGAUCUGCACCUUAUCAACCAAAUUGUUUUGCCUAUCCACCCCGUGGUGCCAAACCCACAUACUCUCCUAUCCUCAAUACCUGCCUCUAUAACCCAUUAUUCUGUUCUAGAUCUCAAACAUGCUUUCUUUACUAUUCCUUUGCACCUUAAUCCCAGCCUCUCUUCACUUCCACUUGGACUGACCCUGACACCCAUCAAGCUCAGGAAAUUACCUAGGCUGUACUGCUGCAAAGCUUCACAGACAGCCCCCAUUACUUCAAUCAAGCCCAAAUUUCUUCCUCAUCUGUUACCUAUCUCGGCAUAAUUCUCAUAAAAACACACGUGCUCUCCCUGCCAAUCGUGUCCGACUGAUCUCUCAAACCCCAGCACCUUCUACAAAACAACAACUCCUUUCCUUCCUAGGCAUGGUUAGCGUGGUCAGAAUUCUUACACAAGAGCCAGGACCACACCCUGUAGCCUUUCUGUCCAAAAAACUUGACCUUACUGUUUUAGCCUAGCCCUCAUGUCUGUGUGCAGCGGCUGCCACUGCAUUAAUACUUUUAGAGGCCCUCAAGAUCACAAACUAUGCUCAACUCACUCUCUACAUUUCUCAUAACUUCCAAAAUCUAUUUUCUUUCUCAUACCUGACACAUAUACUUUCUGCUUCCUGGCUCCUUCCGCUAUACUCACUCUUUGUUGAGUCUCCCACAAUUACCGUUGUUCCUGGCCCAGACUUCAAUCCGGCCUCCCACAUUAUUCCUGAUACCACACCUGACCCCCAUGACUGUAUCUCUCUGAUCCACCUGACAUUCACCCCAUUUCCCCAAAUUUCCUUCUUUCCUGUUCCUCACCCUGAUCACGCUUGAUUUAUUGAUGGCGGUUCCACCAGGCCUAAUCGCCACACACCAGCAAAGGCAGGUUAUGCUAUAGUACAAGCCACUAGCCCACCUCUUAGAACCUCUCAUUUCCUUUCCAUUGUGGAAACCUAUCCUCAAGGAAAUAACUUCUCAGUGUUCCAUCUGCUAUUCUACUACUCCUCAGGGAUUCUUCAGGCCCCCUCCCUUCCCUACACAUCAAGCUCGAGGAUUUGCCCCACCCAGGACUGGCAAAUUAGCUUUACUCAACAUGCCCUGAGUCAGAUAACUAAAAUACCUCUUAGUCUAGGUAGAUACUUUCACUGGAUAGGUAGAGGCCUUUCCUACAGGGUCUGAGAAGGCCACCGCAGUCAUUUCUUCCCUUCUGUCAGACAUAAUUCCUCAGUUUAGCCUUCCCACCUCAAUACAGUCUGAUAACAGAAGGGCCUUUAUUAGUCAAAACAGCCAAGCAGUUUUUCAGGCUCUUAGUAUUCAGUGAAACCUUUAUAUCCCUUAUGGUCCUCCGUCUUCAAGAAAAGUAGAAUGGACUAAAGGUCUUUUAAAAACACACCUCACCAAGCUCAGCCACCAACUUAAAAAGGACUGGACAAUACUUUUACCACUUUCCCUUCUCAGAAUUCAGGCCUGUCCUCGGAAUGCUACAGGGUACAGCCCAUUUGAGCUCCUGUAUAGACGCUCCUUUUUAUUAGGCCCCAGUCUCAUUCUAGACACCAGACCAACUCAGACUGUGCCCCAAAAAAAACUUGUCAUCCCUGCUAUCUUCUCUCUAGUCAUACUCCUAUUCACCGUUCUCAACUACUCAUACAUGCCCUGCUCUUGUUUACACUGCUAGUUUACACUGUUUUUCCAAGCCAUCACAGCUGAUAUCUCCUGGUGCUAUCCCCAGACUGCCACUCUUAACUCUUGAAGUAAAUAAAUAAUCUUUGCUGGCAGGACUAUGCUGAAUCUCCUUAGGCACUCUCUAAUCAGAUAUCCCGAGUCGUCCCAAUUCUUAGACAUUUUAUACCUGUUUUUCUCCUUCUGUUAUUCCAUUUAGUUUCUCAAUUCAUCCAAAACCGUAUCCAGGCCAUCAUCAAUCAUUCUAUACAACAACUGUUUCUUCUAACAUCCCCACAAUAUCACCCCUUACCACAAGACCUCCCCUCAGCUUAAUCUCUCCCACUCUAGGUUCCCACGCUGCCCCUAAUCCCGCUUGAAGCAGCCCUGAGAAACAUCGCCCAUUCUCUCUCCAUACCACCCCCCAAAAAUUUUUGCCGCCCCAACACUUCAACACUAUUUUGUUUUAUUUUUCUUAUUAAUAUAAGAAGGCAGGAAUGUCAGGCCUCUGAGCCCAAACCAAGCCAUCGCAUCCCCUGUGACUUGCACGUAUACGCCCAGAUGGCCUGAAGUAACUGAAGAAUCACAAAAGAAGUGAAUAUGCCCUGCCCCACCUUAACUGAUGACAUUCCACCACAAAAGAAGUGUAAAUGGCCGGUCCUUGCCUUAAGUGAUAACAUUACCUUGUGAAAGUCCUUUCCCUGGCUCAUCCUGGCUCAAAAAGCACCCCCACUGAGCACCUUGCGACCCCCACUCCUGCCCGCCAGAGAACAAACCCCCUUUGACUGUAAUUUUCCUUUACCUACCCAAAUCCUAUAAAACGGCCCCACCCUUAUCUCCCUUCACUGACUCUCUUUUUGGACUCAGCCUGCCUGCACCCAGGUGAAAUAAACAGCCAUGUUUCUCACACAAAGCCUGUUUGCUGGUCUCUUCACACGGACGCGCAUGAAACACAUGAUAACUAAAUAAAUUCAAACUUGGAUAAUUAACAAGACAAAAUUUCAGAAAGGUUUAGGAAAUUAAAAUUUCCCUGGAAAAAUCAAUUGUGGAACAUGCUUUAGAACUUUAAAACAUCCUUGAACAAAAAUUAUACUAUUCCUACUAUCUUCUCUAAAAUAUAUUAUCUUACUUCUGUUUUGC
rnacentral:lncRNA from 10 species